AAUUGAAGCUAUAAAGCUAUAAUUUUUCUGUGGUUAUUUUCGUAUUUAUUUUUUGUUGAUUUUUUGUUGUUGUUGGUUUUUUUUUUGAGGGGACAAGUAAAUUUUUCAUGUACUGUUUGACAGAAGAAGUUAGAGCCCAUUUCAUGCCUUUAGAUGAAAAUGGCCUCAAGAACUCAAGAAAUCGCCUCAAGUUGUGCCAGGGUUGCUUUGAUUAAAAAUCAUAUUCCACAUUGAAGGAAUUUUUAUUCCAAUUCCCAGGAAGCUGUAGAAAUUAUCAUCAGGCUGUGUGUAGCAAGCUGAGAUUUUGACACUUCAUAGAGACACAUACCUGAACAUAAAAAAAUGUGGCUACUGAGAG